GCCCCCCCGCGGAAGCCCCCCGAGUCCCUGCGGAGCGGGCGGGGAGCGGCGGGCGCGCUGCUGGUGGGUGCGGGAGGGGUGCAUGAACGCCCCCGCAGCGGCCGGCGGCCCCGGUGCCUCGCUGUGCUCCGCCGCCGCGCCACCACUCUCAUGCUGUCCCCAUCGCCAGCUUUGUCCCCCGCCUUAGUAAUUCGCGCAUCCUUAUUCAGAUUUGGUGACGUGGGGGCCCGCGUCGGGCGGGCGGCGGCCAAUAGCAGCGCGGUGGCCAUGGCAACCUCUUAAUUUAUAGCAUAUCUAAAUUGGCUCCAGCCUUGUGCUUGGCACAGAGGGAAAAAAACAACGCGCCUCUAUUGUUGAGGGUGGCUUGUACCUGCGCCGCCAAUUCCAGGUGCGGCGGAACUGCGACAACCGGCGGCGGCGACGGACACCGGGGUUCGGGGCUGGGGCGGCCCUCCCGUACUUCCCUUCCCCGCAGCUCCCCCUCUGCAUCCGUCCCCGCUCGUUCUGCGCACCGGGGAAGAAAGAACCAGUGCGGCCGGGUUGAAAGACUCCCGGUAGCGGCCAAAAAAGAAGCCACAAAUCCACAGGAUAAAGGCAUCGCCGGGCAGGGGAAGGAGAAUUGGGCAACGCAUGGAGGAGCGGCGUGGCUUAUACAAGAUGUUGAUGGAAUUUACUAUAUAAAAAAAUCCCCUUUCAAGAAUAAAGUGUAUCAACUUCCAGCACAACAAGCGACAGAGGGAUAAGUGAAACAGACAAAAGACAAACAAGAUAAUAAUCUGUUUCCAAUCAGUUAAGCCCUGUAGAAUUUGUAAUACGCGGUUUGCAUAUUCCCCCUGUGUUUUGUAAUUAAUUAUCUAUCUGUUAGGAUGCUCCGCCGACGACUUUGUUGAUAUUUCCAACUAGUUUUGGUGGCGCCGCCGGGGAGCGCGGAGCAGCGCGGAGAGCGGGGCCGGGAGCUGAGCCCCAUCCACGCCCGUCCGCGGGCUCCCGCGGGGCUGUGCGGGGCUGUGCGGGGCUGUGCGGAGCUCCCGCCGCUCGCGGCCCCCCUCCCCUCCAUCACCCAGCAAAAAGGGGACGGUGCAGUUUUAACAUUAAACAAACCCAGCAAGCGUCUCCUCGCCGGGCCAUAGGCGUUUCUGAGUGACUGCGUUACAAAUUGUAAAUUUAAAUAGCUCACAGGAUUCAUUACCUCCCGCGUCUGACUUCACCCAGCCGUGAAAAAUUGUCCUGGUGUACCACUGAGAAAGGGUUUGCUGCAAAGAGCCCCGGUCUAAUCACCA